GACGAGGUGGCCGAGUGGUUAAGGCAGUGGAUUGCUAAUCCAUUGUGCUAUGCGUGCGUGGGUUUACACCCUUAGUUC
rnacentral:tRNA from 1 species